GUCCUCUUAGCUCAGCAGGAUAGAGCAACGGCCUUCUAAGCCGUCGGUCACUGGUUCGAAUCCAGUAGGGGACA
rnacentral:tRNA from 1 species